rnacentral:lncRNA from 1 species
AUGAGUCGGGGUGAGUACUCCUCUCAAUUUUCCACCUCUGAGCUGUGUGUUGCAGGAGAGGGAGGUUCCCAGCUGCAUCUCGUUGGCAAUCAGCGGGCCCGGCCACAUAAGGAGGAAGGAGAACACACCUCGACACCAGAUGAUUACUACAGCUUGGUUUUUGGAACGUCUCUGAUUCUGCGACUCCUCAGGAUUACUCACCCGUGCUUCAUAGGAUUUCUGGAAGCAGCUCUCAGCCGUUCUCCAUUCCUCCUUACUGACCCACUCAUCUGCCCUCCUCACGCUACCUCUCCUGGACCCCUCUCUUGGAUACUCCCCGGCUCUCAACGUGCCCUCCCUCAUCCUGGUGCUUUCUCAUCUCCCAACGCUGCGCUCCCGUUUCUCGAUCCCCACUGGACUUACCAGUGCUCCUUCAGUUCCCGUUAAUAAAUAUUAUGUUUUACCAUCAAUCCAUGAGUUGCUGUGAUUCUGCAUGUCUUGGGUCAGACGUAUUCCCCAGACCAUGACACAUGGUCCAUACUCUAUUGCAGAAGGGUCCAUUCUCCAUUGGAGAGGUGUCAU